AUUGAACGCUGGCGGCAUGACUUACACAUGCAAGUCGAACGGCAGCACGGGAGCAAUCCUGGUGGCGAGUGGCGAACGGGUGAGUAAAGUAUCGGAACGUGCCCAGUCGUGGGGGAUAACGUAGCGAAAGUUACGCUAAUACCGCAUACGAUCUAUGGAUGAAAGCGGGGGAUCGCAAGACCUCGCGCGAUUGGAGCGGCCGAUAUCAGAUUAGGUAGUUGGUGGGGUAAAGGCUCACCAAGCCGACGAUUUGUAGCUGGUCUGAGAGGACGACAAGUCAAACUAGGACUGAGACACGGCCCAGACUCAUACGGGAGGCAGGAGUGAGGAAUUUUGGACAAAGGGCGAAAGCCUGCUCCAGCUAUGCCGCGUGAAGGAUGAAGGACUUCGGGUUGUAAGCUGCUGUUGUACGGAACGAAAAGGUUUGGCCUAAUAAGCUGAGCUCAUGACGGUACCGUAAGAAUAAGCACCGGCUAACUACGUGACAGCCGCCGCAGUAA
rnacentral:rRNA from 1 species